GAUGAACGCUAGCGGCAGGCUUAACACAUGCAAGUCGAACGGUAACAGCAGAGCUUGCUCUGGCUGACGAGUGGCGCACGGGUGCGUAACGCGUAUACAAUCUACCUUUUACAGGGGUAUAGCCUUUAGAAAUGAAGAAUAAUCCCCCAUAAUAUUUAGCUAUGGCAUCAUGGUUAAAUUAAAGCUUCGGUGGUAAAAGAUGAGUAUGCGUUCUAUUAGCUAGUAGGUAAGGUAAUGGCUUACCUAGGCGACGAUAGAUAGGGGCCCUGAGAGGGGGAUCCCCCACACUGGUACUGAGACACGGACCAGACUCCUACGGGAGGCAGCAGUGAGGAAUAUUGGACAAUGGGCGCAAGCCUGAUCCAGCCAUGCCGCGUGCAGGAAGACUGCCCUAUGGGUUGUAAACUGCUUUUAUAUAGGAAGAAACCCUCGUACGUGUACGAGGCUGACGGUACUAUAAGAAUAAGCAUCGGCUAACUCCG
rnacentral:rRNA from 1 species